rnacentral:lncRNA from 1 species
UAUGUAGCAGAUGAAGAGGGUCUACUAUAAUCUCAGGUUUGAAGAACUUGCAACAUAGCAGGGAGAAGUCACUUACAGAAGAAACAGAUAGCCGCCACAGGUUCCCGCUCUAAGGAACUGCACAGGCUGCUCUUCUGUGACCCGCCUGGAAGCAAAAGAGAGCUCUGGGGUGAGGACCCUGGAUCUAGUCCUCUCUCCAUCACAUCCUCCGUGAUCAGCCAUGGCGUGGUCAGUGCUACAGGUGUGGGCAGGGUGGAUAUCACACUACACAGAAGUUCACUCUAUUCUUCUUCCAAGGGUGCUUACACCUUCCUCAUCACAGAACAAGGGGACUCCUUGUGAUUAAUAGGUAUCCUAGGAAGAGGCCCAGGGAGUUCAGACUGAUCCAGCCUUAUGUCAGGAGACUUAUACAACAGCUAAUACCUUGGCAACAUCUAUGAGGCAUAAACUUCAAGGAGAGAUGCUCUUUCCAUCCCAGUUGUUCCUGGGAACAUCCAGAAGAUGUGGAAGUAUCUAGCCAAAUGCUGCAGCCACCACCACAGUGACACAGAAAACCUUUCUUUUGCAUGUUUUCAAGGAGAGGCAUAUGUUCUAACAUCAUACCACAUCCAGUUAUGAUUAGACUAUGGUUCUUAAGGA